UACGGAGGGGGCUAGCGUUGUUCGGAAUUACUGGGCGUAAAGCGCACGUAGGCGGCUUUGUAAGUUAGAGGUGAAAGCCCGGAGCUCAACUCCGGAAUAGCCUUUAAGACUGCGUCGCUAGAACGUUGGAGAGGUAAGUGGAAUUCCGAGUGUAGAGGUGAAAUUCGUAGAUAUUCGGAAGAACACCAGUGGCGAAGGCGGCUCACUGGCCCGGUACUGACGCUGAGGUGCGAAAGCGUGGGGAGCAAACAGG
rnacentral:rRNA from 1 species